rnacentral:rRNA from 1 species
AUUGAACGCUGGCGGCAUGCCUUACACAUGCAAGUCGGACGGCAGCACGGGAGCAAUCCUGGUGGCGAGUGGCGAACGGGUGAGUAAAGUAUCGGAACGUGCCCAGUCGUGGGGGAUAACGUAGCGAAAGUUACGCUAAUACCGCAUACGAUCUAUGGAUGAAAGCGGGGGAUCGCAAGACCUCGCGCGAUUGGAGCGGCCGAUAUCAGAUUAGGUAGUUGGUGGGGUAAAGGCUCACCAAGCCGACGAUCUGUAGCUGGUCUGAGAGGACGUGCGUCCACACUAGGACUGAGACACAGCCCAGACUCCUACGGGAGGCAGAUGUGGGGAAUUUUGGACAAUGGGCGAAAGCCUGAUCCAGCCAUGCCGCGUGCAGGAUGAAGGCCUUCGGGUUGUAAACUGCUUUUGUACGGAACGAAAAGGUUUGGCCUAAUAAGCUGAGCUCAUGACGGUACCGUAAGAAUAAGCACCGGCUAAGUACGUGCCAGCCGCCGCAGUAA